UUGUGUGCUAUCAUACCAAUAAUUUAAUUUUACAUGUCUGUUGUAAACGAGUUAAUAGUCGGGCACAAUAAAUGUUGAUCUCUUUCUUGGACUCGUGGCUUGGCACGAAUCAAGCAAAUCUUAUCACAGUGACCGACCCGUAGAAUCGCUGCCAAUGGAGGGAAUUUCAUUCAUAUACGUUAAAAUGAUACAUAUCCUAAAUUGCACAGCUAAAUGGUGGUAUAUCCCAAACUUUCUGAAAAUGAUAUAUAUUCAAGUAAGUAUGUGUUAGAACAG
rnacentral:lncRNA from 1 species